UACGGGGGGGGCAAGCGUUGUUCGGAAUUACUGGGCGUAAAGGGCUCGUAGGUGGCCAACUAAGUCAGACGUGAAAUCCCUCGGCUUAACCGGGGAACUGCGUCUGAUACUGGAUGGCUUGAGUUUGGGAGAGGGACGCGGAAUUCCAGGUGUAGCGGUGAAAUGCGUAGAUAUCAGGAGGAACACCGAUGGCGAAGGCAGGUCUCUGGGCCGAUACUGACGCUGAGGAGCGAAAGCGUGGGGAGCGAACAGG
rnacentral:rRNA from 1 species